rnacentral:rRNA from 1 species
AUGAACGCUAGCUACAGGCUUAACACAUGCAAGUCGAGGGGCAGCAUUUCAGUUUGCUUGCAAACUGGAGAUGGCGACCGGCGCACGGGUGAGUAACACGUAUCCAACCUGCCGAUAACUCGGGGAUAGCCUUUCGAAAGAAAGAUUAAUACCCGAUGGUAUAAUUAGACCGCAUGGUCUUGUUAUUAAAGAAUUUCGGUUAUCGAUGGGGAUGCGUUCCAUUAGGCAGUUGGUGAGGUAACGGCUCACCAAACCUUCGAUGGAUAGGGGUUCUGAGAGGAAGGUCCCCCACAUUGGAACUGAGACACGGUCCAAACUCCUACGGGAGGCAGCAGUGAGGAAUAUUGGUCAAUGGGCGCAGGCCUGAACCAGCCAAGUAGCGUGAAGGAUGACUGCCCUAUGGGUUGUAAACUUCUUUUAUAUGGGAAUAAAGUUUUCCACGUGUGGAAUUUUGUAUGUACCAUAUGAAUAAGGAUCGGCUAACUCCGUGCCAGCAGCCGCGGUAAUACGGAGGAUCCGAGCGUUAUCCGGAUUUAUUGGGUUUAAAGGGAGCGUAGGUGGACAGUUAAGUCAGUUGUGAAAGUUUGCGGCUCAACCGUAAAAUUGCAGUUGAUACUGGCUGUCUUGAGUACAGUAGAGGUGGGCGGAAUUCGUGGUGUAGCGGUGAAAUGCUUAGAUAUCACGAAGAACUCCGAUUGCGAAGGCAGCUCACUGGACUGCAACUGACACUGAUGCUCGAAAGUGUGGGUAUCAAACAGGAUUAGAUACCCUGGUAGUCCACACAGUAAACGAUGAAUACUCGCUGUUUGCGAUAUACAGUAAGCGGCCAAGCGAAAGCAUUAAGUAUUCCACCUGGGGAGUACGCCGGCAACGGUGAAACUCAAAGGAAUUGACGGGGGCCCGCACAAGCGGAGGAACAUGUGGUUUAAUUCGAUGAUACGCGAGGAACCUUACCCGGGCUUAAAUUGCAUUUGAAUAUAUUGGAAACAGUAUAGCCGUAAGGCAAAUGUGAAGGUGCUGCAUGGUUGUCGUCAGCUCGUGUCGUGAGAUGUUGGGUUAAGUCCCGCAACGAGCGCAACCCUUAUUGCCAGUUACUACGCAAGAGGACUCUGGCGAGACUGCCGUUGACAAAACGGAGGAAGGUGGGGAUGACGUCAAAUCAUCAUGCCCCUUAUGACCUGGGCUACACACGUGCUACAAUGGACAGAGCAGAGGGAAGCGAAGCCGCGAGGCAGAGCAAACCCCAGAAACCCGAUCUCAGUUCGGAUCGCAGGCUGCAACCCGCCUGCGUGAAGUCGGAAUCGCUAGUAAUCGCAGGUCAGCAUACUGCGGUGAAUACGUUCCCGGGCCUUGUACACACCGCCCGUCACACCAUGAGAGUUGGGAAUACCCGAAGCCUGUGAGCCAACAGUUAAAUGGGGCAGCAGUCGAAGGUAGAAUCAAUGAUUGGGGUG